UGCGUAGGUGGUUGGUUAAGUUUGAGGUGAAAGCUCCGAGCUCAACUCGGAAAAUGCCUUGAAGACUAUCUGACUAGAGGAUUGGAGGGGAGAUUGGAAUUCUCGGUGUAGCAGUGAAAUGCGUAGAUAUCGAGAGGAACACAAGUGGCGAAGGCGAAUCUCUGGACAAUUCCUGACACUGAGGCACGAAAGCCAAGGGAGCAAACG
rnacentral:rRNA from 1 species